AUCGUUCAUCUUCUGACCGCCGCCGCAAGACAGCCAGAGGACGGAAGUAGGGGACUCCUGAAGGAACGCACA
rnacentral:ncRNA from 2 species